GUAAAAUUUGUUUUAGCAUAUUCAAUUUUGUCUUGUGUUGCUUAACCCGUUGUGCUUGAUUUGUAUCUUCUCUAGAUCAUGGCAGCUAUUGGGACUUCCAAUUUUCUUCAUAUGCAUUACAUCAUGGCCUGUAUUGUUCUUCCAGUUCUGGAAGCGUAAGAACUCUGCUCUUUUAGCCAAAUGGCUGAAAAGUUAUUUAGCGGAAGUGGAAAGGAACUCCGUCCAGUCCUCUGUGGAGCUCAUGAAGAAAUCAGGGACCAAUAACCAAAAAGAAGCUUUUCGAAGAGACAAGUGGUUUGGUCAUCUUCUACGAUUCAGAAAUGAUGCAAUUGUUAUCUCAAGUAUAAUUUGUCUUCAAUUGCCAUUUGAGCUGGCUUAUGCUCAUCUAUAUGAAGUUCUUGGGUCCGAUGUGAUGAAGUAA